AAAAAAAAAAAACUCUAAAAAAAAAAAAAAAAAGAUUUAAAUACACUCUUUACAAAUUUGGGUUUUGUUCUCUUUUUUUUGUUUUUUUUUUUCCCUUUUUAACUUUUACAUAAAAACACAAUGAGUAAUUUUUUCGUACCAGUAAGAGGAAAAAAAAGAAAUG
rnacentral:ribozyme from 1 species